CGGAUUGUAACUAGCUAUUGCAUGACUAGGUAAAUGAUAUAAUUUCAUAAAAUACAUAAAGGUGUUGUAAAUAUACAUUUCUACUAUAAUUCAUGCAUUGCAUUGCGCUUGUUCUUUGAAAACCGCAAGCAAUUUUAUCCCCUAGUCCGACCUAUUCAACAUUUCAACUGAUUUCAAGUCAAUUAUAUUUGCUCCCAACGUGAGCCAGACCUGAAGCCUAGUCCCGAAGCUAACCACAAUCUUCCCCUCCACAAUGAUUACACACGAGUGAAUGUUUCACUACCCAUUUGAAAAUUCAUAAUUUUAUCAACUCAAAUUGCCAGAGGUAGGGUGCAUAUUGUCACAGAUUUCAAGAUUAUUCGCAAAAUGAGUUGUUCCUAACUUGGUUUUGAAUUUUAUUGUCUAGUCAUGUAUAUUGUGGACAAUUGGCAAUAAAGGGAAAAAGAAAAAUAAUCGAAGCUUUAUCAAUUCGACUCUAAAGGCAGAUCAUCUUGAUGCAGCACUCAAACAUAGUAGCCAGUAAAUGUGAAUCCUCGACCUACAAUUUCUCCAGCACAAAACCAUGCAAAGCACUCCAAUCCAAAUAAAGCAGCAAUGCUAGCAUCCUCAACCCUGAGCUCCUGCCUAUUUUUCCACAUACGCUUAACAUAAUCAAGCUCCUUCCAGAAUGCUUCAUACCGCCCAGGAAUACUGUUUAAAACAACCAAAUAGAUAGAUUUUUAAGCUUGAAAACAUAUGAAAAAAAUGUGCAAAUGCUGCAUCGACUGUUAUAUAUAAUUACCCCAUGCAAAGAAUGUAGAUUGGCCUGUAACAUGCUAACGCACACUAUACAGAUACAGAUAACCUAUGAUUGACAUCUUACCACCAAGUUCUACUAAAAAUGCCAUUGUGUAGAACCCCGACCCCGUUUUCAUAAUAUUAGCUUAAAAAGCCAGUAGGUUGUCAGCUUCAUUGGAGGACAUUGCUUUCGUCGUCUAGUGUUUUGAGUUCUAUUAGAAUACCUUAUCCUCCAUGUUGUGACUUAUUUUCUUCCUCCUUUAAAUAAAAUUUCUUUCCUCACAAAAUAAUAAUAAUAACAAUAAAAAAGAUGUACUGUUAACCCUCAUUGCAAAUAUGUCACCAUCUACUAUGUUACCAAUAAUUACUAAUCAAAUGGCAGUGCAAUGGUGAUUAGCCUUCACGUUUCGAAUAUGAGAAGGGUAUAAAACUGUGACUAGUGCCUUCUCCCCUUCAAGAACCUAUGAAGUAUGAACUAUAUCAUAUUGGAUAACUAAAAUAUAAUCUUCCAAAUACAAAGACUAUGAUAAAGUUGGAGACAUUAACUCUCUGGCCAAUUUAUUUCAUGGAAAUCAAUUACUCCCUUCAAAAUGAUUUCUUAGAGAACCAGGGAGAUUAAUGGUCACUUGCAGCAAGAAAAACUAGGCCAAAGUUACCAUUUAGCAUGUAAAUGUAAAAUAAUAAAGAGGGGGGAAGAUCUGCCAGUGAUAAACAUGAAUGGCAUUAAAAACUAGCAUAAUUCUCAGUAUGUAAAAAAAUUACCAUGCGAAAGCAAGGCAUUUCACAUCCCAUGAAAGUAUUGAAAAGUAGCAUAAUUCUUUCUCAACAUCCAAGAAAGUUAGACUUAGUGAAAGAAAGGCAUUUCACACAUCGACACAUUCACAUGCACGCAAAUGAAUAUGAUCUAAAAUACGUUGCUGAAUCAAAACAUUUUGCCUGUAACAAGAUACUCUUGGUAAAACAUUACAUCAGGCCAUUCCAAGCCUCAGCCUAGUUUUGGAAUCCAAAUGGAAAGUGAAUCAGCCAAAAGAAGUUAUCCACUAACUAAUAGAUACUUAUACCUAAUUUUCAUUGGGAAGCUUAAUUAGGCACAUAUUAUGACAUAAGUUGUACUCCAUUACUUCAUAUGAUUAGAUAGCAUAACCAUGGAUAACACUUGGAAGGUAUUAAACAUAGGAGAUACCUAAAAAUGAAUUCUUAUAAAAACUUUGCCAUUCCAAGCUAUACAAAACAUUAAAGAAUUGGCCUAAAGUAUAAUUCUAUAAUUUUUCCUGAAUCAAAAUCAAAAUGAUUAGCGACAAAGACUUGGAUGAAGGGACCAACCUUGCAAGACGAGUAUAAAACAACUGUUUUGACAAAAGAUUGCAUUUCUCAACAGUGGGUGGUUCCUGGAUGUACUGCUUGUUCUGCUCUAAUAGCUGCUUGUAGUAGGCAGUACCAUGCUUGGCCACGAAUUGCGAGGCCUGAGCAGCCUUUGAUUGCAACUGAACUAGCUUUGACGCCAUUUUUCCCUGAACCUAUAUCUGCGUUGAUGAUUAGUGAGAGUGAAUAGCUUCGUGUGGCUUUUAUUGUGGGGUUUUUUGGGGUCUCUUCUGCUUGGGUAAAUUUCAGAUUAGGUACCUAAACUUACAUGUUCUAACAAUAUGGUAUCUCAAUCCAUGUUCACUAGAAUUGUAGGAUUGGAUACU
rnacentral:misc_RNA from 1 species